UACGUAGGGUGCAAGCGUUAAUCGGAAUUACUGGGCGUAAAGCGUGCGCAGGCGGUUUCGUAAGUCUGUCGUGAAAUCCCCGGGCUCAACCUGGGAAUGGCAUUUGGGACUGCAAGGCUGGAGUGCGGCAGAGGAGACUGGAAUUCCUGGUGUAGCAGUGAAAUGCGUAGAUAUCAGGAGGAAUACCGAUGGCGAAGGCAGGUCUCUGGGCUGACACUGACACUCAUGCACGAAAGCGUGGGGAGCAAACAGG
rnacentral:rRNA from 1 species